UACGAAGGGGGCUAGCGUUGUUCGGAAUUACUGGGCGUAAAGCGUGUGUAGGUGGUUGUCGUAGUCAGGGGUGAAAGCCUUGAGCUCAACUCAAGAAAUGCACUUGAUACUGGAUAACUAGAGGACCGGAGAGGAUAGUGGAAUUCCCAGUGUAGUGGUGAAAUACGUAGAGAUUGGGAAGAACACCAGUGGCGAAGGCGGCUAUCUGGACGGUUUCUGACACUAAGACUCGAAAGCGUGGGGAGCAAACAGG
rnacentral:rRNA from 1 species